rnacentral:rRNA from 1 species
AUUGAACGCUGGCGGCAUGCCUUACACAUGCAAGUCGAACGGCAGCACGGGAGCAAUCCUGGUAGCGAGUGGCGAACGGGUGAGUAAUAUAUCGGAACGUGCCCAGUCGUGGGGGAUAACGUAGCGAAAGCUACGCUAAUACCGCAUACGAUCUAUGGAUGAAAGCGGGGGAUCGCAAGACCUCGCGCGAUUGGAGCGGCCGAUAUCAGAUUAGGUAGUUGGUGAGGUAAAGGGCUCACCAAGCCGACGAUCUGUAGCUGGUCUGAGAGGACGACCAGCCACACUGGGACUGAGACACGGCCCAGACUCCUACGGGAGGCAGCAGUGGGGAAUUUUUGGACAAUGGGCGCGAAGCCUGAUCCAGCAAUGCCGCGUGCAGGAUGAAGGCCUUC